rnacentral:rRNA from 1 species
CCUACGGGAUGCAGCAGUGAGGAAUAUUGGUCAAUGGGCUUACGCCUGAACCAGCCAAGUCGCGUGAGGGAAGACUGCCCUAUGGGUUGUAAACCUCUUUUGUCAGGGAGCAACGCCGGCUACGUGUAGCCGGACUGAGAGUACCUGAAGUAAAAGCAUCGGCUAACUCCGUGCCAGCAGCCGCGGUAAUACGGAGGAUGCGAGCGUUCUCCGGAUUUAUUGGGUUUAAAGGGUGCGUAGGCGGAAUGCCAAGUCAGCGGUAAAAUCGAGGGGCUCAACCUCGCGAGGCCGUUGAAACUGGCGUUCUUGAGUGGGCGAGAGGUGUGCGGAAUGCGUGGUGUAGCGGUGAAAUGCAUAGAUA